UACGGGAGGCAGCAGGUGGGGAAUAUUGCACAAUGGGCGCAAGCCUGAUGCAGCCAUGCCGCGUGUAUGAAGAAGGCCUUCGGGUUGUAAAGUACUUUCAGUCGUGAGGAAGGUGUUAAGGUUAAUAACCUUAGCAAUUGACGUUAGCGACAGAAGAAGCACCGGCUAACUCCGUGCCAGCAGCCGCGGUAAUACGGAGGGUGCGAGCGUUAAUCGGAAUUACUGGGCGUAAAGGGCACGCAGGCGGUUAAUUAAGUUGGAUGUGAAAUCCCCGGGCUUAACCUGGGAAUGGCAUUCAAGACUGGUUAGCUAGAGUCUUGUAGAGGGGGUAGAAUUCCAUGUGUAGCGGUGAAAUGCGUAGAGAUGUGGAGGAAUACCGGUGGCGAAGGCGGCCCCUGGCAAAGACUGACGCUCAUGUGCGAAAGCGUGGGGAGCAAACAGGAUUAGAUACC
rnacentral:rRNA from 1 species